GACGAACGCUGGCGGCGUGCCUAAUACAUGCAAGUCGAACGCAGUGGGGACGGGUGAGUAACACGUGGGUAACCUCCCAUCAGAGGGGAUAACACUUGGAAACAGGUGCUAAACCGAUACUGACGGAUGGACCUGCGGUGCAUUAGCUAGUUGGUGAGGUAACGGCGCACCAAGGCCACGAUGCAUAGGCGGCCUGAGAGGGUGAUGAGCCACACCGGGAAUAGUACACGGUCCAGACUCCUACGGGAGGCAGGAGUGGGGGAUAUUGGACAAUGGGCGAAAGCCUGGUCCAGCCGUGCCGCGUGUGUGAAGAAGGUCUUCGGAUUGUAAAGCACUUUAAGUUGGGAGGCGUUACCAACAGAAUAAGCACCGGCUAACUUCGUGCCAGCAGCCGCGGUAAUUC
rnacentral:rRNA from 1 species